GUGGGGAAUAUUGGACAAUGGGCGAAAGCCUGAUCCAGCCAUGCCGCGUGUGUGAAGAAGGUCUUCGGAUUGUAAAGCACUUUAAGUUGGGAGGAAGGGCAGUAAGUUAAUACCUUGCUGUUUUGACGUUACCGACAGAAUAAGCACCGGCUAACUUCGUGCCAGCAGCCGCGGUAAUACGAAGGGUGCAAGCGUUAAUCGGAAUUACUGGGCGUAAAGCGCGCGUAGGUGGUUUUGUAAGUUGGAGGUGAAAUCCCCGGGCUCAACCUGGGAACUGCCUACAAAACUGCAUGACUAGAGUACGGUAGAGGGUAGUGGAAUUUCCUGUGUAGCGGUGAAAUGCGUAGAUAUAGGAAGGAACACCAGUGGCGAAGGCGACUACCUGGACUGAUACUGACACUGAGGUGCGAAAGCGUGGGGAGCAAACAGGAUUAGAAACCCGAGUAGUCC
rnacentral:rRNA from 1 species